UAGGGAAUCUUCCGCAAUGGACGCAAGUCUGACGGAGCAACGCCGCGUGAGUGAAGAAGGAUUUCGGUUCGUAAAACUCUGUUGUUAGAGAAGAACAGCGCAUAGAGUAACUGUUAUGCGUGUGACGGUAUCUAACCAGAAAGCCACGGCUAACUACGUGCCAGCAGCCGCGGUAAUACGUAGGUGGCAAGCGUUGUCCGGAUUUAUUGGGCGUUAAGCGAGCGCAGGCGGUCAAUUAAGUCUGAUGUGAAAGCCCCCGGCUCAACCGGGGAGGGUCAUUGGAAACUGGUUGACUUGAGUGCAGAAGAGGAGAGUGGAAUUCCAUGUGUAGCGGUGAAAUGCGUAGAUAUAUGGAGGAACACCAGUGGCGAAGGCGACUCUCUGGUCUGUAACUGACGCUGAGGCUCGAAAGCGUGGGUAGCAAACAGG
rnacentral:rRNA from 1 species